UACGUAGGGCGCAAGCGUUGUCCGGAAUUAUUGGGCGUAAAGAGCUCGUAGGUGGCUUGUCACGUCGGGUGUGAAAGCUUGGGGCUUAACUCCAGGUCUGCAUUCGAUACGGGCUGGCUAGAGGUAGGUAGGGGAGAACGGAAUUCCUGGUGUAGCGGUGAAAUGCGCAGAUAUCAGGAAGAACACCGGUGGCGAAGGCGGUUCUCUGGGCCUUACCUGACGCUGAGGAGCGAAAGCGUGGGGAGCGAACAGG
rnacentral:rRNA from 1 species